GAUGAACGCUGGCGGCGUGCCUAAUACAUGCAAGUCGAGCGAACAGACGAGGAGCUUGCUCCUCUGACGUUAGCGGCGGACGGGUGAGUAACACGUGGAUAACCUACCUAUAAGACUGGGAUAACUUCGGGAAACCGGAGCUAAUACCGGAUAAUAUAUUGAACCGCAUGGUUCAAUAGUGAAAGACGGUUUUGCUGUCACUUAUAGCUGGAUCCGCGCCGCAUUAGCUAGUUGGUAAGGUAACGGCUUACCAAGGCAACGAUGCGUAGCCGACCUGAGAGGGUGAUCGGCCACACUGGAACUGAGACACGGUCCAGACUCCUACGGGAGGCAGCAGUAGGGAAUCUUCCGCAAUGGGCGAAAGCCUGACGGAGCAACGCCGCGUGAGUGAUGAAGGUCUUCGGAUCGUAAAACUCUGUUAUUAGGGAAGAACAAAUGUGUAAGUAACUAUGCACGUCUUGACGGUACCUAAUCAGAAAGCCACGGCUAACUACGUG
rnacentral:rRNA from 1 species